rnacentral:rRNA from 1 species
AACGAACGCUGGCGGCAGGCCUAACACAUGCAAGUCGAACGGGUGUAGCAAUACAUCAGUGGCGCACGGGAGAGUAACGCGUGGGAACCUACCUUUUGGUUCGGAAUAACGUCGGGAAACUGACGCUAAUACCGGAUAAGCCCUACGGGGGAAAGAUUUAUCGCCGAGAGAUGGGCCCGCGUUAGAUUAGCUUGUUGGUGAGGUAACGGCUCACCAAGGCUACGAUCUAUAGCUGGUCUAAGAGGAUGAUCAGCCUCACUGGGACUGAGACACGGCCCAGACUCCUACGGGAGGCAGCAGUGGGGAAUAUUGGACAAUGGGGGCAACCCUGAUCCAGCCAUGCCGCGUGAAUGAUGAAGGCCUUCGGGUUGUAAAGUUCUUUUGGCGGGGACGAUGAUGACGGUACCCGCAGAAUAAGCUCCGGCUAACUUCGUGCCAGCAGCCGCCGUAA